rnacentral:rRNA from 1 species
CCGCUCCUACGGGAGGCAGCAGUGGGGGAUAUUGCACAAUGGGGGAAACCCUGAUGCAGCGACGCCGCGUGGGUGAAGAAGCGCCUCGGCGCGUAAAGCCCUGUCAGCAGGGAAGAAAAUGACGGUACCUGAAGAAGAAGCCCCGGCUAACUACGUGCCAGCAGCCGCGGUAAUACGUAGGGGGCAAGCGUUAUCCGGAUUUACUGGGUGUAAAGGGGGCGCAGACGGCGGAGCAAGCCAGGAGUGAAAGCCCGGGGCCAAACCCAGGG